GCCUACUGGUGACUCUAAGCAGUUCAAAUAACUAAGAACAAACAAUAUUUCAGACAAGAUGUAACAUCUGCCACCACUGCUUGUCAUACACAUGAAACCCCUGGUGACCUUCCAGCCCCUCAGCUCAUCCAAGUGAGUGCCUAGUUGGUUAACAAAUCCUUACUGUGGCAGACCAAGUGUGGCUAUAUACAGAAGCACCGAAGGGCUCAAAUCUGGAUGGGGAGGAACAGAGGUUGUCAAUGUGGAAUAUUUCAGUUCUUGAUGUGAGAUCAGCGACUCUAGCACUGGGAUACUUGAGGUCUUUAAACCAUGAUUUGAGGACUUCUAUAACUCAGACGUAGGGUUUACCGUUACCUGAUUUGAGAAGUCUCGAUUAACUUCAGACUCCUCCACAGAACCUGUCUGCCUUAGUCUGUCACCCCAGAGCAGUGGUCUCCAAAGUGGGGUGCACGCACCAGGGGAUGAGCAAGACGAUCCAUUGGGGAGCAUGGCAGGAGGAGUGCUGCCGGAGGGGG